rnacentral:lncRNA from 1 species
AUGACCCCUUCGAAGGGGCUCUUUCCUCCUCUGCCUUGGGGACCCACUGCCACCUCUUCAUGGGUGAUGCCGCAUUUAUACCUGGCACCUGGCUCCAGUCUGACCUCUAGGUGCGGGCCUCUAGCACAUCAGACCUCAGUUUCCCUCGGCCAAAUCGUCCAGCAUCUCCUCCCUCGUCCCUGUCCUCAGGCUCACCUCAGUCACCCGCACCCCCUUUCUCAUUCCUCUGAGGCGUUCCCUGCUGUUCCAGCGAACUUCUGUUCCGGUGACCCUCGGGCUGGACGUUCAUCAGCCCCGGAAGACAAGAGAAAUCGCUUGUCCUGCCCCACAACCCCUCCAACCACCACCCACUCCCCCUACAGCCCUCUGGCAGCUCUGAUCUUACUUCCCUGCAGGGAUCGGAGAGGUCGCUACUCUACACAAACAGCACACCUGGUCUCAGGGGCCCUGACAAAGUGUGACCUGCACUGGCCCCACCUCAGGGCAGUCGCCCUCACAUCCCCAGACCAGACUGGGCUCAGAGCAAUGUCCUGCACGGCGGGCGUGAGUGAGCGAGCGGGCGUGCCCUCCAGAGGCCUCCGGACGGCGCAAACUGUCUUUUGUUUGGGCACAGAUUCGAGAAUGCUGCAGUUAUGCAAACGUGAUUGAUUUUUCCGCUUCUUCACCGUCCAUUCAUUGCUCAGGCCACUGAGCUGCUUCCACCUCGACCACUAAAAUGACUCGCGCUGGGAACGCCUGGGCGGCGCAGUCAGUUCAUCGUCUGCCUUCAGCUCAGCUUGGGAUCCCGGGGUCCUGGGAUUGGGUCCCGCAUUGGGCUCCCUGCUGAACAGGGAGCCUGCUUCUCCCUCUGCCCCUGCCCUUUGGCACCCCCCUCGUGCUCCCACUCCCCCUCUCCCUCUUAAAUAAAUAAAUAAAAUCUUAAAAAAAAAAAAGAAAGAAAGUAAAACGACUCAUGCUAAGGUGACCAAGGACCUCGUGCAAGGCUUCCUUCUUUCAAUCGCUUCUUCCCCGAUGAACUUGGAGUGGUAGUGGCCCUGGACAUCAUUCAUCACCUGCUGACCCUUCUCAGUGGCCCCAUGAUGCCUCUCCUGGCUCCCCUCCCUUCUUCCUACUUUUGCCUCCUCAGCUGUUUCUUUUAAACCUGUUGCUAGCCCCCCCCCCCUUCCUUCUUUCUGCUCCUCUGUAGUCCUUACAAGUAAAUAUUUGCUGCACUUUAGUCUUUGGUCUUGCUUUCUUGCUGUGUGAUCCGCCUGGGUGAACUUGGCCUUAAGACUCUAGCUCCAAGGGGAACGGCUCAACUUCACAUGACCAUCACCAGCCCUGACCUCUCCCUGAGUUCCAGACUCUUUUAUUGCCUGCUGUGUGUGUGUGUGUGUGUGUGAAAAUGUACAUAGCAUAGG